UAUUAUGCCCCCCUUCGAAGAAGAGGGGGUAUAUUGCUUUGCACAUGUCGGUCGGUCGGUCUGUCGGUCCGUCCACCAGGUGGUUUCCGGAUGAUAACUCAAGAACGCUUGGGCCUAGGAUCAUGAAACUUAAUAGGAACAUUGAUCAUGAUUCGACGAUGACCCCUAUUGAUUUUGAGGUCACUAGGUCAAAGGUCAAGGUCACUGUGACCCGAAAUAGUAAAAUGGUUUCCGGAUGAUAAUUCAAGAACGCUUAUGCCUAGGAUCAUGAAACUUGAUAGGUAGAUUGAUCAUGACUCGCAGAUGACCCCUAUUGAUUUUCAGGUCACUAGGUCAAAGGUCAAGGUCACGGUGACCCGAAAUAGUAAAAUGGUUUCCGGAUGAUAAUUCAAGAACGCUUAUGCCUAGGAUCAUGAAACUUGAUAGGUAGAUUGAUCAUGACUCGCAGAUGACCCCUAUUGAUUUUCAGGUCACUAGGUCAAAAGUCAAGGUCACGGUGACCCGAAAUAGUAAAAUGGUUUCCGGAUGAUUACUCAAGAACGCUUAUGCCUAGGAUCAUGAAACUUGAUAGGUAGAUUGAUCAUGACUCGCAGAUGACCCCUAUUGAUUUUCAGGUCACUAGGUCAAAGGUCAAGGUCACGGUGACCCGAAAUAGUAAAAUGGUUUCCGGAUGAUAACUCAAGAACGCUUAUGCCUAGGAUCAUGAAACUUGAUAGGUAGAUUGAUCAUGACUCGCAGAUGACCCCUAUUGAUUUUGAGGUCACUCGGUCAAAGGUCAAGGUCACGGUGACCCGAAAUAGUAAAAUGGUUUCCGGAUGAUAACUCAAGAACGCUUAUGCCUAGGAUCAUGAAACUUGAUAGGUACAUUGAUCAUGACUGGCAGAUGACCCCUAUUGAUUUUCAGGUCACUAGGUCAAAGGUCAAGGUCACAGUGACCCGAAAUAGUAAAAUGGUUUCCCAAUGAUAACUCAAGAAAGCU